UACAGAGGGGGCAAGCGUUGUUCGGAAUUACUGGGCGUAAAGGGCGCGUAGGCGGCCUGUUAAGUCGAACGUGAAAUCCCCGGGCUCAACCCGGGAACUGCGUCCGAUACUGGCAGGCUUGAAUCCGGGAGAGGGAUGCGGAAUCCAGGUGUAGCGGUGAAAUGCGUAGAUAUCUGGAGGAACACCGGUGGCGAAGGCGGCAUCCGUGGACCGGCAUUGACGCUGAGGCGCGAAA
rnacentral:rRNA from 1 species